GAUGAACGCUGGCGGCGUGCUUAACACAUGCAAGUCGAACGAGCCUUCGGGCUAGUGGCGGACGGGUGAGUAACGCGUGGGAAUCUGCCCUCAGGAGGGGGAUAACGGCCGGAAACGGCCGCUAAUACCCCAUAUGCCGAGAGGUGAAAUGAAUUUCGCCUGAGGAUGAGCCCGCGUCUGAUUAGCUAGUUGGUGGGGUAAUGGCCCACCAAGGCGACGAUCAGUAGCUGGUCUGAGAGGAUGAUCAGCCACACUGGGACUGAGACACGGCCCAGACUCCUACGGGAGGCAGCAGUGGGGAAUUUUCCGCAAUGGGCGAAAGCCUGACGGAGCAACGCCGCGUGAGGGAUGAAGGCCUCUGGGCUGUAAACCUCUUUUCUCAAGGAAGAAGACAUGACGGUACUUGAGGAAUAAGCCACGGCUAAUUCCGUGCCAGCAGCCGCGGUAAUACGGGAGUGGCAAGCGUUAUCCGGAAUUAUUGGGCGUAAAGCGUCCGCAGGCGGCCUUGUAAGUCUGUCGUUAAAGCGUGGAGCUUAACUCCAUUUAAGCGAUGGAAACUACAAGGCUUGAGUGUGGUAGGGGCAGAGGGAAUUCCCGGUGUAGCGGUGAAAUGCGUAGAUAUCGGGAAGAACACCAGUGGCGAAGGCGCUCUGCUGGGCCAUAACUGACGCUCAUGGACGAAAGCCAGGGGAGCGAAAGGGAUUAGAUACCCCUGUAGUCCUGGCCGUAAACGAUGAACACUAGGUGUCGGGGGAAUCGACCCCCUCGGUGUCGUAGCUAACGCGUUAAGUGUUCCGCCUGGGGAGUACGCACGCAAGUGUGAAACUCAAAGGAAUUGACGGGGGCCCGCACAAGCGGUGGAGUAUGUGGUUUAAUUCGAUGCAACGCGAAGAACCUUACCAGGGUUUGACAUCCUGCGAAUCCCUUGGAAACGAGGGAGUGCCUUCGGGAGCGCAGAGACAGGUGGUGCAUGGCUGUCGUCAGCUCGUGUCGUGAGAUGUUGGGUUAAGUCCCGCAACGAGCGCAACCCACGUCUUUAGUUGCCAGCAUUCAGUUGGGCACUCUAGAGAGACCGCCGGUGAUAAACCGGAGGAAGGUGUGGAUGACGUCAAGUCAUCAUGCCCCUUACAUCCUGGGCUACACACGUACUACAAUGCUACGGACAAAGGGUUGCAAGCUCGCGAGAGUUAGCUAAUCCCAUAAACCGUGGCUCAGUUCAGAUCGUAGGCUGCAACUCGCCUACGUGAAGGAGGAAUCGCUAGUAAUCGCAGGUCAGCAUACUGCGGUGAAUACGUUCCCGGGCCUUGUACACACCGCCCGUCACACCAUGGAAGUUGGCCAUGCCCGAAGUCGUUACUCCAACCCUUGUGGAGGAGGACGCCGAAGGUGGGGCUGAUGACUGGGGUGAAGUCGUAACAAGGUAGCCGUACCGGAAGGUGCGGCUGGAUCACCUCCU
rnacentral:rRNA from 1 species